rnacentral:lncRNA from 1 species
AUGCAUCUCCCUGAGUCCAGCUCAGCCCUUAGAGAGAUCUUCUGCUCCUCUCCAGCUCUGGGCAAAGCUUCUAGCCUUCAAAGGUGUAAACCUUUCAGAAUAAUGCACCAUACAGUACCCUGGAUGCACAGGUCAAGCCAGAAAGAUGACAAUGGAUGUUAUAGGAUUUUUGUUAUUACUUUGGGAGGAAAACUAUUGAUGGUGUUAAUGUCCAAUGAAAUGAGGCUGGAUCUGGAAGAAUUUGGAAUUACUAAUAGCUGCUGCUUCAGCAAAUCCUCUCUUUGGAAUAUUAUGUUUGUUUGUGGUUUGUAG